GAUGAGUUUCCUUCGGGAACGGAUUAGCGGCGGACGGGUGAGUAACACGUGGGUAACCUGCCUCAUAGAGUGGAAUAGCCUUCCGAAAGGAAGAUUAAUACCGCAUAAUGUUGAAAGAUGGCAUCAUCAUUCAACCAAAGGAGCAAUCCGCUAUGAGAUGGACCCGCGGCGCAUUAGCUAGUUGGUGGGGUAACGGCCUACCAAGGCGACGAUGCGUAGCCGACCUGAGAGGGUGAUCGGCCACAUUGGGACUGAGACACGGCCCAGACUCCUACGGGAGGCAGCAGUGGGGAAUAUUGCACAAUGGGGGAAACCCUGAUGCAGCAACGCCGCGUGAGUGAUGAAGGUUUUCGGAUCGUAAAGCUCUGUCUUUGGGGAAGAUAAUGACGGUACCCAAGGAGGAAGCCACGGCUAACUACGUGCCAGCAGCCGCGGUAAUACGUAGGUGGCGAGCGUUAUCCGGAUUUACUGGGCGUAAAGGGAGCGUAGGCGGAUGAUUAAGUGGGAUGUGAAAUACCCGGGCUCAACUUGGGUGCUGCAUUCCAAACUGGUUAUCUAGAGUGCAGGAGAGGAGAGUGGAAUUCCUAGUGUAGCGGUGAAAUGCGUAGAGAUUAGGAAGAACACCAGUGGCGAAGGCGACUCUCUGGACUGUAACUGACGCUGAGGCUCGAAAGCGUGGGGAGCAAACA
rnacentral:rRNA from 1 species